rnacentral:rRNA from 1 species
UACAGAGACUGCAAGCGUUAUUCGGAUUCACUGGGCGUAAAGGGUGCGCAGGCGGCCGUGUGUGUGAGGCGUGAAAGCCUGGGGCUUAACCCCAGAAUUGCACCUCAAACUACAUGGCUAGAGCAUUGGAGAGGGUAGCAGAAUUCAUGGUGUAGCAGUGAAAUGCGUAGAUAUCAUGAGGAAUACCAGAGGCGAAGGCGGCUACCUGGACAAUUGCUGACGCUCAGGCACGAAAGCGUGGGGAGCAAAAGGG